UCAAGCUAUUAAGGGCACAAGGUGGAUGCCUUGGCGUUGGAAGGCGAUGAAGGACGUGGAAAGCUGCGAUAAGCUUCGGCGAGCCGCUAAACAGGCUUUGACCCGGAGAUUUCCGAAUGGGGCAACCCAACUGGAGUCAUGUCCAGUUAUCUUAUGGUGAAUACAUAGCCAUAUGAGGCGAACGAGGGGAACUGAAACAUCUAAGUACCCUCAGGAAGAGACAUCAAUUGAGAUUCCGUCAGUAGCGGCGAGCGAACGCGGAAGAGCCUAAACCAUGUAUAUGUAAGCCCACAGGCGUUGUAUACAUGGUGUUGUGGGGCUUUGUUGGAGGACGUUGUGGAGUCCUCGGAGAGUUACAAAACUGAUAUAUAGCUGAAGGCGAUGGAAAGCGCCGCCAUAGAUGGUGAUAGCCCUGUAAGCGAAAUGUAUCAGACUCUCUGGACAGAGUUCCCGAGUACCACGGGACACGAGAAAUCUUGUGGGAAUCUGGGUGGACCAUCAUCCAAGGCUAAAUACUAACCAACGACCGAUAGUGAACUAGUACCGUGAGGGAAAGGUGAAAAGUACCCCGAUGAGGGGAGUGAAAUAGUACCUGAAACCUUGUGCCUACAAGCAGUGGAAGCACCAUGUCUUCGGACGGUGUGACCACGUGCCUUUUGCAUAAUGAGUCUACGAGUUACGUCUAUGCAGCGAGGUUAAGCCGUCAGGUGGAGCCGUAGCGAAAGCGAGUCUUAAUAGGGCGUCUAGUUGCAUGGAGUAGACCCGAAACCAGGUGAUCUAUCCAUGGCCAGGGUGAAACCUCGGUAACACGAGGUGGAGGCCCGAACCGUUGUAGGUUGAAAACUGCUCGGAUGAGCUGUGGAUAGGGGUGAAAGGCCAAUCAAACCUGGAGAUAGCUGGUUCUCCCCGAAAUAUAUUUAGGUAUAGCCUCAUGAAUUAAGUAGCGGGGGUAGAGCACUGGAUGGGCUAGGGGUCUUACCGGAUUACCAAACCUAACUAGACUCCGAAUACCGCUAACUUCUAUCAUGGGAGUCAGACUGCGGGUGAUAAGAUCCGUAGUCGAAAGGGAAACAACCCAGACCGCCAGCUAAGGUCCCAAAAUAUGUGCUAAGUGGCAAAGGAUGUGGAAACGCACAAACAGCCAGGAGGUUGGCUUAGAAGCAGCCACCCUUUAAAGAAAGCGUAAUAGCUCACUGGUCGAGUGGGUCUGCGCCGAAAAUGUACCGGGGCUAAAGCACAUUACCGAAGCUGCGGAUUGGUAGUUUACUACUGAUGGUAGGGGAGCAUUCUGUAGGCCUGUGAAGGUUGACCGUAAGGACAGCUGGAGGUAUCAGAAGAGCUUAUGUAGACAUGAGUAACGAUAAAGGGGGUGAAAAACCCCCUCGCCGAAAGUCCAAGGUUUCCUGGGUAAAGGUAAUCUUCCCAGGGUUAGUCGGCACCUAAGGCGAGGCCGAAAGGCGUAGUCGAUGGAAAACGGGUUAAUAUUCCCGUACCGCUGUAUAUAUGUUUGAGCGAAGGGGGGACGCAGUAAGGUAGAUCUACCGGGUGAUGGAUAUCCCGGGCUAAGCCCUUAGGCGGGGAGAGUAGGCAAAUCCGCUCUCCUAUUUAAACGCUGAGAGGUGAUGGGUAGACCGCUUUAGGUCGAAAUGAUUGAUCCUACACUGCCAAGAAAAGCCUCGUAGUGAGUAUAUAUUGUGACCGUACUGCAAACCAACUCAGGUGGACGAGAUGAGUAUUCUAAGGCGAUUGAGAGAACUCUGGUUAAGGAACUCGGCAAAAUAACACCGUAACUUCGGGAGAAGGUGUGCCCCUAUGUACGUGAAAGGACUUGCUCCUGGAGCGGAGAGGGGUUGCAGAGAAAUGGGGGUAGCGACUGUUUACUAAAAACACAGGUCUCUGCGAAGUCGAAAGACGAUGUAUAGGGACUGACGCCUGCCCGGUGCCGGAAGGUUAAUCGGAGGUGUGCAAGCACCAAAUUGAAGCCCCGGUAAACGGCGGCCGUAACUAUAACGGUCCUAAGGUAGCGAAAUUCCUUGUCGGGUAAGUUCCGACCUGCACGAAUGGCGUAACGAUUUCCCCACUGUCUCACCAGAGACUCAGUGAAAUUGGAUUAUC
rnacentral:rRNA from 1 species